rnacentral:rRNA from 1 species
AAACUGGGGCUAAUACCGGGAUAGGAGCUCCUGCUGCAUGGUGGGGGUUGGAAAAGUUUCGGCGGUUGGGGAUGGACUCGCGGCUUAUCAGCUUGUUGGUGGGGUAGUGGCUCACCAAGGGCUUUGACGGGUAGCCGGCCUGAGAGGGUGACCGGCCACAUUGGGACUGAGAUACGGCCCAGACUCCUACGGGAGGCAGCAGUGGGGAAUAUUGCACAAUGGGCGGAAGCCUGAUGCAGCAACGCCGCGUGCGGGAUGACGGCCUUCGGGUUGUAAACCGCUUUCGCCUGUGACGAAGCGUGAGUGACGGUAAUGGGUAAAGAAGCACCGGCUAACUAUGUG